rnacentral:rRNA from 1 species
ACGGAGAGUGCAAACGUUGUUCGGAAUUAUUGGGCGUAAAGGGCGCGUAGGCGGCUCGGUAAGUCAGAUGUGAAAGCCCGGGGCUCAACCCUGGAAGUGCGUUUGAAACUGCUGAGCUUGAGUGCAGGAGGGAGAGGUGGAAUUCCAGGUGUAGGAGUGAAAUCCGUAGAUAUCUGGAGGAACACCGGUGGCGAAGGCGACCUCUUGGCCUGAAACUGACGCUGAGGCGCGAAGGCGUGGGGAGCAAACAGGAUUAGAUACCCUGGUAGUCCACGCGGUAAACGAUGCUCACUGGGUGCUGGUGGCAGACGCUGUCAGUGCCGUAGCUAACGCGAUAAGUGAGCCGCCUGGGGAGUACGGUCGCAAGAUUA